AGAGUAAGUCAGCCUAAUUCAGCGUGUCAAAGUACAUAACGCUGAAGCGGAGGAACCAAAUUUUGGGGCGUAUCUUAAUAGAAGUGAAAAGUAAAAAGUAAAAAGUUAGUCAUAAUCUAACUCAGCACUGAUUACUCAGCACUCUAAAAAGAGGGGCAUCUCUCAGCCCUAGCCCGUCAGCUAACUUCGUAGGCAUUGAGAGGAGACUGA
rnacentral:sRNA from 2 species